rnacentral:rRNA from 1 species
UACGUAGGGGGCAAGCGUUGUCCGGAUUUAUUGGGCGUAAAGAGCGUGUAGGCGGUUCGGUAGGUCCGUUCUGAAAACUCGAGGCUCAACCUCGAGACGCGGAUGGAAACCAUCUAACUAGAGUCCGGAAGAGGAGAGUGGAAUUCCUGGUGUAGCGGUGAAAUGCGCAGAUAUCAGGAAGAACACCCGUGGCUAAGGCGGCUCUCUAGUACGGUACUGACGCUGAGACGCGAAAGCGUGGGGAGCGAACAGG